UACGGAGGGCGCGGGCGUUAAUCGGAAUUACUGGGCGUAAAGCGCGCGUAGGCUGUUGUGUAAGUUGGGGGUGAAAUCCCACGGCUCAACCGUGGAACAGCCCUUGAUACUGCGCGACUUGAAUCCGGGAGAGGGUGGCGGAAUUCCAGGUGUAGGAGUGAAAUCCGUAGAUAUCUGGAGGAACAUCAGUGGCGAAGGCGGCCACCUGGACCGGUAUUGACGCUGAGGCGCGAAAGCGUGGGGAGCAAACAGG
rnacentral:rRNA from 1 species